UACGGAGGGUGCAAGCGUUGCUCGGAAUUAUUGGGCGUAAAGGGUAGGUAGGUGGUCUUAUUUGUCUGAGGUGAAAUCCUUGAGCUUAACUCAAGAAGUGCCUCAGAAACGGUAAGACUCGAGUCCUGGAGAGGGUCGUGGAAUUCCCGGUGUAGCGGUGAAAUGCGUAGAGAUCGGGAGGAACACCAGAGGCGAAAGCGGCGGCCUGGACAGGAACUGACACUCAACUACGAAAGCGUGGGGAGCAAACAGG
rnacentral:rRNA from 1 species